rnacentral:tRNA from 1 species
AAAGCUCUAGCUUAAUUAAAGUGUCUGGGUUGCAUUCAGGCGAUGUGGGUUAGUAGCCCACGGGCUUUA